CUACAGUGUAGCUUGUUUGUGUAGUUCAACACUUGUGUAGUUCAGUGUGAGAUCAAUGUUACAGCUUCUAUUAUGGGAUACCUACCCUUUGAAGUAACCUCCUGCGAAAGGUUUCAAGGCGAGCGCUCUGCCGGCAGCUGCGACAUUCACGUGUUUCAGGUUGUAUAUGUUGGGGAGAUUGUGAUGGACCGGCUAAUUCAUCAGCUGUUGGCCGCUGUCUAGCAACAUCAGCUGGAGUAUUCACUGUUGAAGGUGUUUGGGAUAUAGCUGAAGUUGAAGGUUGUACUCGUCUGGAAGGUUGGGAUGGUCCAGCUAAUUCAGCAGUCAUUGCUCGCCGCAUUGCAACAUUAGCUCGUGUAUUAGACGACGACCUAUCUACAGAUAGCCAAAUUCCAUCGGUUGAGGAUGCCUGGGCUACAGCUGAAGUUGAAGCUGAUCUUAGAAUAUCAAGAUCAUCUUGAAAGAAGGAAUCUCUUGAACUCUGACUUGGUGGAACUACAGAUCCAGGGCUUGAAGGUGGUGAAUCUAUGAUGCUUGAAUUUGGGCUUGAUGGUGAACUAGCUGAUGCAGCGAUAUGACAGCAGAGGAAGUAUUGACUGUCUAUUAUGGACAAUAUAAAGAAUAUGUGGCUGAAUGCAGCCACGAACUAGAAGAGGAGGAAGAAGAGGAGGAAGAAGAAAUAGAAGAAGAUGAAGGAAUUGAGGCCGAUUUAGAAGAAAAUUGAUGGCUGCCCCUCUCCUCCUCCUCUACUAGCGCUAAGUAUUUAGUUG